CGGAACAGAAAGAAAAAUAAUAAUAAUACACAAACACAAGAAUAAUUUGUGAUUUAUUUCCUUGAAUGCGGAAUUACGAUUACACCACUUAGCAAUUGAGGUGGAAAAAAAGAAGGAAAAAGAAACAAAUUCCGUGUGCUCCACAAGCCAGGUGUUUGAGUGGACACAUUAAUGCAGUGGCGACAAAUCGUAUGAAUAUCUCAGUAGAAUUCGGUGGCUUUGAAAACUAAACAAAAUUCGCAGAUUAAUGACCAGCGGUGCGUAGACAGGCAGGCAAGCAAACGUGCAGAUCAGGGUGAGCCCAGUUCAUAUUUCGUUAAUGAGUGGCUCGUAAGCAUGUUUGAAAUUGUGUCGAGACUCUUUUGAGUGGCAACGGAAAUUAUUUUGCAAAAGCAAUAUUCAAAUAAUUUGUUGUUGUGUUGUUUUUUCAUACGCAUACACUUCGUAUGUCCACAAAGGUGUCAACCGUAAUAAAAACAGCCGAAAUUACAACAACACAAACUCGAUGACCAAGCGACAAGCCCUGAAUUUUAAAUAGGAUAAAAAUGGUCUAUAAAAUUAAAUACAAACUUUAUCUCUUGAA